rnacentral:rRNA from 1 species
AGAGUUUGAUCCUGGCUUAGGAUGAACGCUAGCUACAGGCUUAACACAUGCAAGUCGAGGGGCAGCAUGGUCUUAGCUUGCUAAGGCUGAUGGCGACCGGCGCACGGGUGAGUAACGCGUAUCCAACCUUCCCCUUAGUAGGGCAUAGCCCGGCGAAAGUCGGAUUAACACCCUAUGUUUUCCGUUGCGGGCAUCUAAUAUGGAACAAAGAUUUAUCGCUAAGGGAUGGGGAUGCGUCUGAUUAGGUAGUAGGCGGGGUAACGGCCCACCUAGCCCUCGAUCAGUAGGGGUUCUGAGAGGAAGGUCCCCCACAUUGGAACUGAGACACGGUCCAAACUCCUACGGGAGGCAGCAGUGAGGAAUAUUGGUCAAUGGCCGAGAGGCUGAACCAGCCAAGUAGCGUGCAGGACGACGGCCCUAUGGGUUGUAAACUGUCUUUUAUGCGGGGAUAAAGUCGCCCACGUGUGGGUGUUUGCAGGUACCGCAUGAAUAAGGACCGGCUAAUUCCGUGCCAGCCGCUGC